GGCAGCUUCUGUGGACAGGGCAGGAGGUGUGCUAGGUGACAAUUCGGGCGGAUGCUCCCUCUGAGACAGGAAAACUGGAGCAGAGAGGACCAAGGCAGCCUGAGCCAGAGGCGCCUCUCCAUCACUGGUCAGGAGGGAACAACUGCUCCAUUUCCUUGGCCCUCAGACCACGGAGCCCCGGGUCACCAGCCUAAACCGCUUAAUGCGCACCACGCCUGCGUCUCCUUGGAAAUGGCUGAAGCACUUAAAUGGAACGCCCAGCCUGUGUCCUCCGCUCCAAAACCACAGGCAGAACUGCACUUGAACCAUCCUUGAACCCAUUUCGCUCUGAAAGAUGCCACCAUUCUGUAGCAAGUGGAGGCGGGCUGGUACAGUGAUUAAGACCACAGACCAGCAGCUACUUGUCCACGUGUCAGCCCCUCCUCUCUGUGUGACUUGGGGCAAGUUCCUUCACUUGUCGCAGUCUCCUUCCCCUCCCCUGAUUCAUGAGGAGGUAAUAACCUAAACCAUCCAUCCUGUAAGGGCUCUGAGGCUUCCAUGAGAUCACGUGUAUAAAGCA